rnacentral:ncRNA from 1 species
CACUGCCUGUCGCUACUACCGAUAGGAUGGUUUAGUGAGGUCCUCGGUUCGGCCCUGCCAGGGUCAGUCACGGUCCUGGUGGAGCACUGACAAGAUGAUCAAACUUGACUAUCAAGAGGAAGUAAAACUUGUAACAAGGUUUCCGUAGGUGAACCUGCAGAAG